GUGACAGCCCCGUACACAAAAAUGCACAUGCUGUGAGCUCGAUGAGUAGGGCGGGACACGUGGUAUCCUGUCUGAAUAUGGGGGGACCAUCCUCCAAGGCUAAAUACUCCUGACUGACCGAUAGUGAACCAGUACCGUGAGGGAAAGGCGAAAAGAACCCCGGCGAGGGGAGUGAAAAAGAACCUGAAACCGUGUACGUACAAGCAGUGGGAGCACAGAGCAAUCUGUGUGACUGCGUACCUUUUGUAUAAUGGGUCAGCGACUUAUAUUCUGUAGCAAGGUUAACCGAAUAGGGGAGCCGAAGGGAAACCGAGUCUUAACCGGGCGUUAAGUUGCAGGGUAUAGACCCGAAACCCGGUGAUCUAGCCAUGGGCAGGUUGAAGGUUGGGUAACACUAACUGGAGGACCGAACCGACUAAUGUUGAAAAAUUAGCGGAUGACUUGUGGCUGGGGGUGAAAGGCCAAUCAAACCGGGAGAUAGCUGGUUCUCCCCGAAAGCUAUUUAGGUAGCGCCUCGUGAAUUCAUCUCCGGGGGUAGAGCACUGUUUCGGCAAGGGGGUCAUCCCGACUUACCAACCCGAUGCAAACUGCGAAUACCGGAGAAUGUUAUCACGGGAGACACACGGCGGGUGCUAACGUCCGUCGUGAAGAGGGAAACAACCCAGACCGCCAGCUAAGGUCCCAAAGUCAUGGUUAAGUGGGAAACGAUGUGGGAAGGCCCAGACAGCCAGGAUGUUGGCUUAGAAGCAGCCAUCAUUUAAAGAAAGCGUAAUAGCUCACUGGUCGAGUCGGCCUGCGCGGAAGAUGUAACGGGGCUAAACCAUGCACCGAAGCUGCGGCAGCGACACUGUGUGUUGUUGGGUAGGGGAGCGUUCUGUAAGCCUGUGAAGGUGUGCUGUGAGGCAUGCUGGAGGUAUCAGAAGUGCGAAUGCUGACAUAAGUAACGAUAAAGCGGGUGAAAAGCCCGCUCGCCGGAAGACCAAGGGUUCCUGUCCAACGUUAAUCGGGGCAGGGUGAGUCGACCCCUAAGGCGAGGCCGAAAGGCGUAGUCGAUGGGAAACAGGUUAAUAUUCCUGUACUUGGUGUUACUGCGAAGGGGGGACGGAGAAGGCUAUGUUGGCCGGGCGACGGUUGUCCCGGUUUAAGCGUGUAGGCUGGUUUUCCAGGCAAAUCCGGAAAAUCAAGGCUGAGGCGUGAUGACGAGGCACUACGGUGCUGAAGCAACAAAUGCCCUGCUUCCAGGAAAAGCCUCUAAGCAUCAGGUAACAUCAAAUCGUACCCCAAACCGACACAGGUGGUCAGGUAGAGAAUACCAAGGCGCUUGAGAGAACUCGGGUGAAGGAACUAGGCAAAAUGGUGCCGUAACUUCGGGAGAAGGCACGCUGAUAUGUAGGUGAAGUCCCUCGCGGAUGGAGCUGAAAUCAGUCGAAGAUACCAGCUGGCUGCAACUGUUUAUUAAAAACACAGCACUGUGCAAACACGAAAGUGGACGUAUACGGUGUGACGCCUGCCCGGUGCCGGAAGGUUAAUUGAUGGGGUCAGCGCAAGCGAAGCUCUUGAUCGAAGCCCCGGUAAACGGCGGCCGUAACUAUAACGGUCCUAAGGUAGCGAAAUUCCUUGUCGGGUAAGUUCCGACCUGCACGAAUGGCGUAAUGAUGGCCAGGCUGUCUCCACCCGAGACUCAGUGAAAUUGAACUCGCUGUGAAGAUGCAGUGUACCCGCGGCAAGACGGAAAGACCCCGUGAACCUUUACUAUAGCUUGACACUGAACAUUGAGCCUUGAUGUGUAGGAUAGGUGGGAGGCUUUGAAGUGUGGACGCCAGUCUGCAUGGAGCCGACCUUGAAAUACCACCCUUUAAUGUUUGAUGUUCUAACGUGGACCCGUGAUCCGGGUUGCGGACAGUGUCUGGUGGGUAGUUUGACUGGGGCGGUCUCCUCCUAAAGAGUAACGGAGGAGCACGAAGGUUGGCUAAUCCUGGUCGGACAUCAGGAGGUUAGUGCAAUGGCAUAAGCCAGCUUGACUGCGAGCGUGACGGCGCGAGCAGGUGCGAAAGCAGGUCAUAGUGAUCCGGUGGUUCUGAAUGGAAGGGCCAUCGCUCAACGGAUAAAAGGUACUCCGGGGAUAACAGGCUGAUACCGCCCAAGAGUUCAUAUCGACGGCGGUGUUUGGCACCUCGAUGUCGGCUCAUCACAUCCUGGGGCUGAAGUAGGUCCCAAGGGUAUGGCUGUUCGCCAUUUAAAGUGGUACGCGAGCUGGGUUUAGAACGUCGUGAGACAGUUCGGUCCCUAUCUGCCGUGGGCGCUGGAGAACUGAGGGGGGCUGCUCCUAGUACGAGAGGACCGGAGUGGACGCAUCACUGGUGUUCGGGUUGUCAUGCCAAUGGCACUGCCCGGUAGCUAAAUGCGGAAGAGAUAAGUGCUGAAAGCAUCUAAGCACGAAACUUGCCCCGAGAUGAGUUCUCCCUGACCCUUUAAGGGUCCUGAAGGAACGUUGAAGACGACGACGUUGAUAGGCCGGGUGUGUAAGCGCAGCGAUGCGUUGAGCUAACCGGUACUAAUGAACCGUGAGGCUUAACCUUACAACGCCGAAGGUGUUU
rnacentral:rRNA from 1 species